GGCAAAAAUACACAUUGUUGAAUGUCACGACUGUACGCUUUGUCAUAUUGACACAAAAUUUGACAAUCACGUGUAUCUUAAUAAGAUCUACGAAGAAGUCCAUGCGCACGUAUCUGUAAAAUGUACGGUUAAAGGGCUAUUUUGCAUUUUUUGCCGAUUAGCACACAUUGGAAUGUGGCUAACUCCUCCUAAGGCUUUCGUCCCACCGACACCAAAUUUGCUCAGGCCAACCUACACCCCAUGGCCAUUCAAAGUUGUACAAAUCAUGACGCUGCACCCCACGGUUUAGGUUCUAGGGGGCGCCAAAGAGGACCCAAAUAUCCACAUUUUUAAAAGUCUUAUAACUUUUUAUUUUUGUCCUCACUGGCCUCCAAGUUUUCUAGGAUGAUGCAAUGUCCAGCCAUCAACACAUUUGUGAAGGAAUUUUUACUCCCCAAAAGAGCGCCCCCCCAUGGCAGGAGAAAAAGUCAAGUUUUUCCUGCCCAUCGCUCAAUGGCUCAAACGCAUCGCUCUCUCGGCAAAACCGAAAGGAGGAGCAACUUGCCAUUUGGAUAUAUACUAGCUGUGUUUGUGCCCUCACUCAUGGUCCAGACUUUUUUCAAAAAGGACAUGGAGUUUGUCUGCAGCGAGCGUUUUGGUAGAAACUGCGCCUCCCAUUCAUUAUAAUGGUAAAUGACCACAGACAAGUGCGCACACCAUCUUUGGACUUUGAGUGUGACGCAAUCGGGAGGGGUAGGCGGUCGCGCUGGGGGCGGCGCGACAUGGCUCGGGCCCGCCAGUGCCCCACCGGGGCCCUAGUUAGGGCCCGAGCGUAGCUGCUAAGCAGCUGCGAGAGCCCUCUUGUUCCUGAUGGAUUCUUCUUUUUAGGGCCCGAGCGUAGCUGCUAAGCAGCUGCGAGAGCCCUCUUGUUCCUGAUGGAUUCUUCUUUUGUUAGGGCCCGAGCGUAGCUGCUAAGCAGCUGCGAGAGCCCUCUUGUUCCUGAUGGAUUCUUCUUUUGUUAUUAUUAGGGCCCGAGCGUAGCUGCUAAGCAGCUGCGAGAGCCCUCUUGUUCCUGAUGGAUUCUUCUUUUUAGGGCCCGAGCCAGCUGCAGAGCAGCCGGGCGUAGAGCCCUAUUAUUCCUGUAUAGGUUUUUCUUUCUUCUUUCUUUCUUUCUUUCUUUCUUCUUAUUUUUCCUCCCCUUUGAAGGGGAAAAUGGCCCACUUCCCACUGGCGAAAACUCAUGAAAUUUGGCAGGACGACCGGGCCUGGUGAAAAAUUCAAUAUUCUGAAGUCGCCCAAACAAUAAAAUGCAAAAUGGCUCCAAAGCGCCCCCUAAGGUGAAAAUUCACACUAUUGACUGUCACGCCUUUACGCUUUGUCAUAUUGACACAAAAAUUGACACACACAUGUAUCUCAAUAAGAUCUACAAAAAAGUCAGUGCGGGCGUAUCUGUCAAAUGUACGGUUAAAGGGUUAUUUUGCAUUUUUUGCCGAUCCGCACACAUUGGAAUUUCGCUAACUUCUCCGAAGGCUUUCGUUCCACCGGCACCACAUUUGCUCAGGCCAAUCUACACCCCAUGGCCAAUAAAAGUUGUACAAAUCAUGACGCUGCACCCCACGGUUUACGUUCUAGGGGGCGCCAAAGAUAACCCAAAAAUCCACAGUCUUAAAAGUCUUAUAACUUUUUAUUUUUGUCCUCACUGGCCUCCAAGUUCUCUAGGAUGAUGCAAUGUCCAGCCAUCAACACAUUUGUGAAGGAAUUUUUACUCGCCAAAAGAGCGCCCCCCCAUGGCAGGAGAAAAAAGUCCAUUUUUUCUUGUCUCCUAAGGCGAAAAUUCACACUAUUGACUGUCACGCCUUUACGCUUUGUCAUAUUGACACAAAAAUUGACAUACACAUGUAUCUCAAUAAGAUCUACAAAAAAGUCAGUGCGGGCGUAUCUGUCAAAUGUACGGUUAAAGGGUUAUUUCGCAUUUUUUGCCGAUCCGCACACAUUGGAAUUUCGCUAACUCCUCCGAAGGCUUUCGUUCCACCAGCACCACAUUUGCUCAGGCCAAUCUACACCCCAUGGCCAUUAAAAGUUGUACAAAUCAUGAUGCUGCACCCCACGGUUUACGUUCUAGGGGGCGCCAAAGAUAACCCAAAUAUCCACAGUCUUAAAAGUUUUAUAACUUUUUAUUUUUGUCCUCACUGGCCUCCAAGUUCUCUAGGAUGAUGCAAUGUCCAGCCAUCAACA
rnacentral:lncRNA from 1 species